rnacentral:rRNA from 1 species
UUCCGGUUGAUCCUGCCGGACCCGACUGCUAUUGGGUGAGAAUAAGCCAUGCGAGAUGAAUGGGAUACCUAAAGUUCCCAUAGCAAAGUGCUCAGUAACACAUGAUCAACUUACUUAUAGAGAAAAAUAACCUCGGGAAACUGAGGAUAAUGUUUCAUAAUUGAAUUGGCUUGGAAAAGUUUUCAAUGAAAGGGAUAAAAAAAUGGUUUUUAUCUGUCAUAGGAUAGGAUCGUGUCAGCUUAUGGCUGUUGGUGAGAUAAUGGCUCAACAAGCCGAUAAUCGAUAGGCACCAAGAGAGCUGGAGUCUCGCGAUGUGUAGUGAGACAGCGACCCUGGCAGUACGAGGCGCAGCAGGCGCGGAACCUCGAGAGAUACACGAAAGUGUGACGGGGUUACCCAAAGUGUUCAAUCAUACUCUGGUAGGUGAGUAAUGUCCCUUACUAGAAAGGAGAGGGCAAUCUUGGCCCCAGCCGCUUCGCUAAAACCAGUUCUCCAAGGAAUAGCCACAUUUAUCGGAUGUCAAGUGUCGGUAGCCCAUUUCAUAAGUUUGAAUUAAAAUCGGGUAGCUUAACUAUGUGCAUGCUAGGAAGGGCCCUAUACUAGAGGGCGGGAGAGGUGGGAGGUACUACAGGGGUAGGGGUGAAAUAAAGUAAUCCUGAUAGGUCCCCCAGUCAAGAAGGCGUCAGACCGCAACGCCCUCGUCGGGGAGGGACGCAAACCAGGGGAGGGAUCCGGAUUAGCUAGCCGGGUAGUCAGGAAUCCAAACGAUCAUGUUAGGUGAUCAUUUUCCCAUGAGCUGUAUCAGUGCCGUAGGGAAACCGUUAAGGUGCCGAGCGGUAAGCCCGUUCGCAAGGCUAAAACGGAAAGGAAUUGGCGCGGGAGCUCCACAAGGGGUGAAGCCAGCGGGGUCAAU